rnacentral:rRNA from 1 species
ACGGGGCCCGCACAAGCGGUGGAGCAUGUGGUUUAAUUCGACGCAACGCGAAGAACCUUACCAGGGCUUGACAUCCCCUGACCGCGUAUGAAAGUACGUUUUCACCCUCGGGUGACAGGGAGACAGGUGGUGCAUGGUUGUCGUCAGCUCGUGUCGUGAGAUGUUGGGUUAAGUCCCGCAACGAGCGCAACCCUCGACCUUAGUUGCCAGCAUUCAGUUGGGCACUCUAAGGUGACUGCCGGCUAAAAGUCGGAGGAAGGUGGGGAUGACGUCAAAUCGUCAUGCCCCUUAUGACCUGGGCUACACACGUGCUACAAUGGGCGGUACAAAGGGUCGCGAACCCGCGAGGGGGAGCCAAUCCCAAAAAGCCGCUCUCAGUUCGGAUUGCAGGCUGCAACUCGCCUGCAUGAAGCCGGAAUCGCUAGUAAUCGCGGAUCAGCAUGCCGCGGUGAAUACGUUCCCGGGCCUU